rnacentral:sRNA from 1 species
GCUGGGUGUGGUGGCUCACAUCUGUAAUCCCAACACUUUGGGAGGCUGAGACAGGUGGAUCACUUGAGGCCAGGAGUUCAAGACCAGCCUGGCCAACAUGGUGAAACUCCGUCUCUACUAAAAAUACAAAAAAUUAAGGCCGGACAUGGUGGCUCAUGCCUGUAAUCCCAGCAAUGUCAGAGGCCAAGGCAAGUGGAUCACCUGAGGUCAGGAGUUCAAGACCAGCCUGGCCAAUAUGGUGAAAUCCUGUCUCU